AAUGAACGCUGGCGGCAGGCCUAACACAUGCAAGUCGAACGGAUCCUUCGGGAUUAGUGGCGGACGGGUGAGUAACGCGUGGGAACAUACCCCAAGGUACGGAAUAGCCUCGGGAAACUGGGAGUAAUACCGUAUGUGCUAGAAAGAGGAAAGAUUUAUCGCCUUUGGAUUGGCCCGCGUUGGAUUAGGUGGUUGGUGGGGUAAUGGCCUACCAAGCCGACGAUCCAGAGCUGGGUUGAGAGGAUGAUCAGCCACAAUGGGACUGAGACACGGCCCAGACUCCUACGGGAGGCAGCAGUGGGGAAUCUUAGACAAUGGGGGAAACCCUGAUCUAGCCAUGCCGCGUGAUCGAUGAAGGCCUUAGGGUUGUAAAGAUCUUUCAGGUGGGAAGAUAAUGACUGUACCACCAGAAGAAGCCCCGGCUAACUCCGUGCCAGCCGCCGCAGUAA
rnacentral:rRNA from 1 species